rnacentral:rRNA from 1 species
AUUGAACGCUGGCGGCAGGCCUAACACAUGCAAGUCGAGCGGAGCGGCGGACGGGUGAGUAAUGCCUAGGAAUCUGCCUGGUAGUGGGGGAUAACGUCCGGAAAGGGGCGCUAAUACCGCAUACUAUCAGAUGAGCCUAGGUCGGAUUAGCUAGUUGGUGGGGUAAAGGCCUACAAAGGCGACGAUCCGUAACUGGUCUGAGAGGAUGAUCCGUCACAAUGGAACUGAGACACGGUCCAGACUCCUACGGGAGGAAGCAGGGGGGAAUAUUGGACAAUGGGCGAAAGCUGGAUCCAGCCAUGCCGCGUGUGGGAAGAAGGUCUUCGGAUUGUAAAGCACUUUAAGUUGGGAGGCGUUACCAACAGAAUAAGCACCGGCUAACUCCGUGCCAGCAGCCGCGGCAAUAC